GGCAGCUACCAUGCAGUCGACGGUAACAGAGAGCAGCUUGCUGCUCUGCUGACGAGUGGCGGACGGGUGAGUAAUGUCUGGGAAACUGCCUGAUGGAGGGGGAUAACUACUGGAAACGGUAGCUAAUACCGCAUAACGUCUUCGGACCAAAGUGGGGGACCUUCGGGCCUCAUGCCAUCAGAUGUGCCCAGAUGGGAUUAGCUAGUAGGUGGGGUAACGGCUCACCUAGGCGACGAUCCCUAGCUGGUCUGAGAGGAUGACCAGCCACACUGGAACUGAGACACGGUCCAGACUCCUACGGGAGGCAGCAGUGGGGAAUAUUGCACAAUGGGCGCAAGCCUGAUGCAGCCAUGCCGCGUGUAUGAAGAAGGCCUUCGGGUUGUAAAGUACUUUCAGCGGGGAGGAAGGCGUUGUGGUUAAUAACCACAGCGAUUGACGUUACCCGCAGAAGAAGCACCGGCUAACUCCGUGCCAGCAGCCGCGGUAAUACGGAGGGUGCAAGCGUUAAUCGGAAUUACUGGGCGUAAAGCGCACGCAGGCGGUCUGUUAAGUCAGAUGUGAAAUCCCCGGGCUCAACCUGGGAACUGCAUUUGAAACUGGCCAGCUUGAGUCUCGUAGAGGGGGGUAGAAUUCCAGGUGUAGCGGUGAAAUGCGUAGAGAUCUGGAGGAAUACCGGUGGCGAAGGCGGCCCCCUGGACGAAGACUGACGCUCAGGUGCGAAAGCGUGGGGAGCAAACAGGAUUAGAUA
rnacentral:rRNA from 1 species